UCCCCCUCACCACUGCCUGAGGCUGCCUUGGCCUGGCCCCUUCCUAGCUGCUGCCCUCUCUGCCUCCUUCACGCAGAUCUGCUGAGAGGAUCCUGCAUAAGCCUCCUGUCCCACCAUGGGGAGGUCCAUGCAGCAUGGAGCCCAGGCCUCCCUCGAGGGAGACUGGGAGGAUCCCGCCCUGUCAGGCCUUCGGAUGAGAUGGCACCCUUGGCCAACAGCAGCCCUGAGCCAAAGGCACCGACAGGCUCAGAUUUCUGAGCUGAAAUCGUGUUUGCUGUUUGAAGCCCCCAAGUGUUGGGGUGAGUCGUUCAUCAACAAUAGACAACUCCUCACACCACGUAGGCACUUCUGUUUCGUCUGUUUGGUAAUUUCCGUAUUCUCUUUUUUUAACUGGCAUUCUCUCCACAUCCCUAAGUCACACAUGGCAGCCCGCUUCUUU
rnacentral:lncRNA from 10 species